rnacentral:rRNA from 1 species
GACGAACGCUGUCGGCGUGCUUAACACAUGCAAGUCGAACGGAAAGGCCCUGCUUUUGUGGGGUGCUCGAGUGGCGAACGGGUGAGUAACACGUGAGUAACCUGCCCUUGACUUUGGGAUAACUACAGGAAACUGGGGCUAAUACCGGAUAGGAGCUCCUGCUGCAUGGUGGGGGUUGGAAAGUUUCGGCGGUUGGGGAUGGACUCGCGGCUUAUCAGCUUGUUGGUGGGGUAGUGGCUUACCAAGGCUUUGACGGGUAGCCGGCCUGAGAGGGUGACCGGCCACAUUGGGACUGAGAUACGGCCCAGACUCCUACGGGAGGCAGCAGUGGGGAAUAUUGCACAAUGGGCGGAAGCCUGAUGCAGCAACGCCGCGUGCGGGAUGACGGCCUUCGGGUUGUAAACCGCUUUCGCCUGUGACGAAGCGUGAGUGACGGUAAUGGGUAAAGAAGCACCGGCUAACUACGUGCCAGCAGCCGCGGUGAUACGUAGGGUGCGAGCGUUGUCCGGAUUUAUUGGGCGUAAAGGGCUCGUAGGUGGUUGAUCGCGUCGGAAGUGUAAUCUUGGGGCUUAACCCUGAGCGUGCUUUCGAUACGGGUUGACUUGAGGAAGGUAGGGGAGAAUGGAAUUCCUGGUGGAGCGGUGGAAUGCGCAGAUAUCAGGAGGAACACCAGUGGCGAAGGCGGUUCUCUGGGCCUUUCCUGACGCUGAGGAGCGAAAGCGUGGGGAGCGAACAGGCUUAGAUACCCUGGUAGUCCACGCUGUAAACGGUGGGUACUAGGUGUGGGGUCCAUUCCACGGGUUCCGUGCCGUAGCUAACGCUUUAAGUACCCCGCCUGGGGAGUACGGCCGCAAGGCUAAAACUCAAAGGAAUUGACGGGGCCCCGCACAAGCGGCGGAGCAUGCGGAUUAAUUCGAUGCAACGCGUAGAACCUUACCUGGGUUUGACAUGGAUCGGGAGCGCUCAGAGAUGGGUGUGCCUCUUUUGGGGUCGGUUCACAGGUGGUGCAUGGCUGUCGUCAGCUCGUGUCGUGAGAUGUUGGGUUAAGUCCCGCAACGAGCGCAACCCUUGUUCACUGUUGCCAGCACGUUAUGGUGGGGACUCAGUGGAGACCGCCGGGGUCAACUCGGAGGAAGGUGGGGAUGACGUCAAGUCAUCAUGCCCCUUAUGUCCAGGGCUUCACGCAUGCUACAAUGGCUAGUACAGAGAGUGGCGAGCCUGUGAGGGUGAGCGAAUCCCGGAAAGCCGGUCUCAGUUCGGAUUGGGGUCUGCAACUCGACCUCAUGAAGUCGGAGUCGCUAGUAAUCGCAGAUCAGCAACGCUGCGGUGAAUACGUUCCCGGGGCU